rnacentral:rRNA from 1 species
UACGUAGGGUGCAAGCGUUAAUCGGAAUUACUGGGCGUAAAGCGUGCGCAGGCGGUGAUGUAAGACAGUUGUGAAAUCCCCGGGCUCAACCUGGGGACUGCAUCUGUGACUGCAUCGCUGGAGUACGGUAGAGGGGGAUGGAAUUCCGCGUGUAGCAGUGAAAUGCGUAGAUAUGCGGAGGAACACCGAUGGCGAAGGCAAUCCCCUGGGCCUGCACUGACGCUCAUGCACGAAAGCGUGGGGAGCAAAAGGG